UGGAACAAAUUUCUGAGAAGACCUAAGCCCAGGACAUAAAUUCAAAAAGCAGCCUCACCUAACAAGUCUUAUUGUUCCAGGACUGGAUUCUUUCUCCAUGAUCUUAGCGAUUCUAAAAAAGCAGUAUUCUUUCAUUAUCCUCAGGAAAUGGACUUCUUGUCACAGGCAUCUCUUUUCACUUAGAUUGUCAAGAGUCUCAUAAUAUUUUAAAAUACUUUAACUCACUUUUUUGGUUAAAAUUAACUUAUACUUGUAGAAAUUUAAAAUUCAGAGAAAUAGUACUUGAAGUAUUUUCUUCUAGUUUUUCCUCUGUAAUUUAAAUAUAGAGGGGAUAUUUCUGUUUAUGGAAUUUCAUAUCCCA
rnacentral:lncRNA from 1 species